AUGCACUAGUUGGGGAGUCAGCGGUGCCCUGUAACCUGCAAACCGCUACAGCAGGGAUGAAGUCCCUCCCCAGGGUUGGCCGUGUAUCGUCUGACCCGAAUAAGCGGCGAUGAGAAAGCGGUCCUGCGCAACGGAAGCCUGCGAACCAUGUCAGGCGGGGGACCGAGCAGCAUUAAGCGGAACCUUUCGUGUGCCGCGGGGGUGCCGCUUUCGAGCCGGCUGUUCGGGUAACGGGUGGACGACCAUAUUCAAAGGAGGGUGUGCAU
rnacentral:SRP_RNA from 1 species